GAAAGCAAAUGAAGAGAUGGAAAAACUGAAAGGGGAGGCACAAGCAAACAAGGAUCACAUGCUAUAGUAUAAAGAAAUAGCACAAGUGAAUGAAGUUGCAAUGAAGCAAAUUGAAUCUGCUCAUAAAAAAUUCAAGGCUGAGGCUGACAAGUUAAAGAAGUCACUAGAGGAUGAAAUUCAUUUUCUCAAUGGAAGGGUUUCAGAACUUGAAAGUGAUCUUGUGUCAAAGUCCACAGAAGU